rnacentral:lncRNA from 1 species
AGCCUGGGUUCACGCUCGCGCCUCUCCCUCCACACCUCCCUGCAAGCUGAGGGAGCCAGCUCCGGCCUAGGCCAGCCCAGGAAGGGGCUCUCACAGUGCAGCGGCGGGCUGAAAGGCUCCUCAAGUGCCGCCAAAGUGGGAGCCCAGGCAGAGGAGGCGCCGAGAGCGACUGAGGGCUGCCAGCAUGCUGUCACCUCUCACUAGUUUAGGAAAAUUCUGUUGACCUAUAAUGAAGUUUACAGAUUUUUCCUCAUAUCUGUCCAGUCUACGGAUUAGAUCUUCAAAGAGAUGAAAUCCCACUAUUUUGCCCAGGCUCAUCUAUAACUUCUGAGCUCAAGACAUCCUCCUGCUUUGACCUUCCAAAGUGCUGGGAUAGGGGUUUUGUGCAAAUAUCUGCUGAGUGAACUACUUAUUUGAAAAUACAUCAUUGGUUAAUAUUCCCUUUUGCUCAUUGAAAUCUCAAAGACUACAGCCAGAAUGGAGUGUAGUGGCGUGAUCUUGGCUCACAACAACUUCUGCUUCCCACAUUCAAGCGAUCCUCCCACCUUAUACUCCUGAGUAGCUGGAACCACAGACAAACUACAAUAAAGCCAUGCCCUGACUGGAUGUGCCUAACAUUUGUCUGGUGCUUAAAGGAGUUGGCUGCAUGCGUGGAAAUGUUGGAAAGUCACCAAAAAUAGUUCUCCAAGUCAGAAGCGGUGCAAAAGCUGCCUCAGCUCUUGGUGGAUUUUCAAUUUCUCCCAGCCAUCUCUGUUUCGCUAAAGGUUUCUGAAGACAGUGGGUAUGUGGCAAACUUCUGCAAUUCUAUAUUAAGAUAAACUGUUAGAUCAAUUAUGUGUGUCAUAUUAUCUUCCUUCUGCAGAGUUUGAGAAUUAUAUUUCUUACCUGUUUGCUUCAGGGACAACUUGUUUGGAAAAAAAAUCACCCAGGGUUAAACAUCAUAUUCUUUAGAACCCAAAAAGCAUUGAUCCAUUUAUAUCCAGCUUCAAAUACCAUGCUAGUAUUCCCAACUUAAGGGCCACCAUAUUGAUGCAUGCUAAUGUGCCAACAGUUUCAUCCACUAUUUUAUUUUAUUUAUUUAUUUAUUUAUUUGAGAUGGAGUUUUGCUCUGGUCACCCAGGCUGGAGUUCAAUGGCAUGAUCUUGGCUCACUGUCACCUCUGCCUGCUGUGUUCAAGUGAUUCUCCAGCCUCAGCCCUCCCGAGUAGCUGGAAUUAUGGGCGCCCACCACCAUGCCUGGCUAAUUUUUGUAUUUUUAGUAGAGACAGGGUUUCGCCAUGUUGGCCAGACUGAUCUCCAACUCCUGACCUCAGAUGAUUCGCUCACCUCGGCCUCCCAAAGUGCUAGAAUUACAGGCAUGAGCCACAGUGCCUGGCCUCACCCACUAAUUUUUAGACACCAUUAGUGUAAGUGUCAUCAAAAUAAAAAAGACAAAUAAUCUAUUAAUAUUAUGUUACUGUAGUUUUGUCCUCACAGACCCUCAGGUAGCUUCUGGGGACCAUCAUGGUCCCACAGACCAUUCUUUGAGAAUUGCUAUCACAGAGAAAAUAAACCUUUGACACAUCAUAACUGCACUCUAAAUAUAGGAUUUGUAUAUGCUGAAGAAUUUCAAUAAAGAUCUGGAACAGCAGC